rnacentral:rRNA from 1 species
GUGGAUUAGAUACCCGAGUAGUCCACGCCGUAAACGAUGGGCACUAGGUGUGGGAGGUGUCGACUCCUUCCGUGCCGAAGCUAACGCAUUAAGUGCCCCGCCUGGGGAGUACGGCCGCAAGGCUAAAACUCAAAGGAAUUGACGGGGGCCCGCACAAGCAGCGGAGCAUGUGGUUUAAUUGGAUGCAACGCCAAGAACCUUACCAAGGCUUGACAUGGUCGGGAAAACCGGAGAAAUUCGGUCCUCCUUCGGGACUCGAUCACAGGUGGUGCACGGCCGUCGCCAACU